AUGACAUCUGGCGUACGAAUCUCAACACAGCGUUCGCCUGACUUCCAGCCCACCACUUCCGUUUCCCACGCUCCACGCCCCACGCCCCCCGUCCUUUCAGCUUCUAAUCUGUUUCAUCUUCCAAAACAAAAAAACCCAUCUCCGUCUCUUCCAUCUCGCCGGCGACGGCGUGCCAAGAUGGCGCAGCCCGACGAGGGCAACGAGGCACUGGAUCGGGAGACCACCUCUCUGCCCACGGCUACUCCAAUCAGGCCUCUUUUGAUUGAUUCAAUUACCUUGCAGCAAUUUCCAACGAUUUCGAUAACUGGCCAGCCCUCGAUGAGCAGCACACCGGCGGCCUCUGCAUCAGAAUCCUCUCUGCCCACAGCUACUCCAACCAUGCAAUUGCCAAGAACUGAGACUAAUGGCCAGCCGAGAAUGAGCAACACACCAGUGAAUAAUCAAGACAUACAAGAUGCAGAUAAUGUUCCAAGAGUUGGGAAGUGCUUUCAGUCUGAAGAAGAGGCGUACCAAUUUUACAAUUCUUAUGCUCAAACCAAGGGAUUUAGCAUUAGGAAGUGCCGCUUGAAGUUUAAGGCAGAUGGGACUUUAAGUUCCAGAUAUUUUGUUUGUAGCAAGGCAGGUGUGAAAAAUGCUAAUCCAACACAUGUGGCCAAGAAAGAACAAGCUAUUUCGAGGACUAAUUGUAUGGCUCGAGUUCAAUUCAGCAUCAAUCAAGAGGGAAUUUGGACUGCUCAGAAAGUUACGCUCGACCACAAUCACCAGCUUGUAAGUCCAGAUAAGAGGCACAUGCUUAGAUCGCAGCGUCAACUCUUAGAUGCCGAUCGCCACAUGAUUAAGCAAAUGAGGACAUCGGGAAUUAGACAAGCCGAAAUUUAUGAUUUUUGCGAGCUUUGGUAUGGUAAAGAUGCUAUACCCUUCUUGCAAAUGGAUUGCAACAAUUAUUUGCGAAGUGAGCGCUCAAAGUAUAUGGAAACCAAAGAUGCACAAACAUUAAUGGAGUAUCUAAAGAACAAGCAAGCUGAGGACCCUUCGUUUUUCUAUGCCAUGCAGUUAGAUGAUGAUGAUGGUACAAUAAUGAACAUCUUUUGGACUGAUGGACAAGCUAUCAUGGACUAUUCUGUCUUUGGAGAUGCCCUUUCCUUUGACACCACAUUUUCAACAAUGAUGCCAUUUAGAGCUCCUGAACGAAUAAAAGGUUCAAAGCAAAAAAAGAUCAAAAGAUGUGCUAGAGGGAGCAAAGAAAGGCAAAAAAAAAGGAAAAGGUACAAACUAUCCGGCAAAGGAGUCCGUGUUUGUGCCGUCCGUAGCUGGCCCUUCCGAAUAUGA
rnacentral:rRNA from 1 species